rnacentral:tRNA from 1 species
GUAGCUCAGGUGGUUAGAGCGCACGCCUGAUAAGCGUGAGGUCGGUGGUUCGAGUCCACUC